CAGUCGCCGCGGGAAUGCGUAGGUGGCAAGCGUUGUCCGGAAUUAUUGGGCGUAAAGGGCUCGCAGGCGGUUUCUUAAGUCUGAUGUGAAAGCCCCCGGCUCAACCGGGGAGGGUCAUUGGAAACUGGGAAACUUGAGUGCAGAAGAGGAGAGUGGAAUUCCACGUGUAGCGGUGAAAUGCGUAGAGAUGUGGAGGAACACCAGUGGCGAAGGCGACUCUCUGGUCUGUAACUGACGCUGAGGAGCGAAAGCGUGGGGAGCAAACAGGAUUAGAGACCCCUGUAGUCCCUGUCUCUUAUAC
rnacentral:rRNA from 1 species